CCGAGUGCGGGCCCUCGCGGCCCAACCUCCCACCCUUGUCUCUAUACACCUGUUGCUUUGGCGGGCCCACCGGGGUCACCUGGUCGCCGGGGGACGCACGUCCCCGGGCCCGCGCCCGCCGAAGCGCUCUGUGAACCCUGAUGAAGAUGGGCUGUCUGAGUACUGUGAAAAAUUGUCA
rnacentral:misc_RNA from 1 species